UGUCGGUCCCCCCGCAACGACCAGCUGUGAACCCCGCCAGGUCCGGAAGGAAGCAACGGUAGCAGUGACAUCGUGUGCCGGGGUGUGGCUGGCAGGG
rnacentral:SRP_RNA from 1 species